rnacentral:rRNA from 1 species
UACGUAGGGCGCAAGCGUUGUCCGGAAUUAUUGGGCGUAAAGAGCUCGUAGGCGGCUUGUCACGUCGGAUGUGAAAGCCCGAGGCUUAACCUCGGGUCUGCAUUCGAUACGGGCUAGCUAGAGUGUGGUAGGGUAGAUCGGAAUUCCUGGUGUAGCGGUGAAAUGCGCAGAUAUCGGGAGGAACACCGGUGGCGAAGGCGGUUCUCUGGGCCUGUACUGACGCUGAGGAGCGAAAGCGUGGGGAGCGAACAGG